GCCUACGGGGGGCAGCAGUGGGGAAUAUUGCGCAAUGGGCGAAAGCCUGACGCAGCGACGCCGCGUGAGGGAUGAAGGUCUUCGGAUCGUAAACCUCUGUCAGCAGGGAAGAACGGUUACUGUGCUAAUCAGCAGUGAAUUGACGGUACCUGCAAAGGAAGCACCGGCUAACUCCGUGCCAGCAGCCGCGGUAAUACGGAGGGUGCGAGCGUUAAUCGGAAUUACUGGGCGUAAAGCGCUCGUAGGCGGUAUGUCAAGUCAAGGUUGAAAUCCCCGCGCUCAACGCGGGAACUGCCUUUGAAACU
rnacentral:rRNA from 1 species